UAGUCAGGUUUUCGAUCCUUUGGGGCUC
rnacentral:sRNA from 1 species